rnacentral:misc_RNA from 1 species
CACCUCGGCCAGAUACUCCUCGACCCGUGGCCACGCCGCCUCGAUCACCUCCCGUGGCUGCCGCGACGUCCAGGUGUCGUCGAAGCUGUCCAGGGCCAUGUACUUCGGGUGGGCGGUGAGCUUGAACUUGCCGUUGAGUUCGUUGAGGUUGAUCAGGGCCGUCAUGCCGUAGUACAGCGUCGCCCACGAGUCCUUGCGCUUCGUAGUGCUGCGCAGCUGCAGGUCGUAGAGCGGCUGGCGGGUCUGGCGUUUCGCCCGCUGCACCAGCGCGUUGGCUGGCCCCGUCGCCAGCGCGUCGAACAGCGACGGGCUCACGGAUCGGUCGAAAUGCAUGUCUGUGUCCAUCCGUUCGCCUCCCAAGUAGCGCCCACGCGUCGCACUGAUGUUGCGGCUUCGCGCC